rnacentral:rRNA from 1 species
UACGAAGGUGGCAAGCGUUGUUCGGAUUUACUGGGCGUACAGGGAGCGUAGGCGGUUGGAUAAGCCCCUCCGUGAAAUCUCCAGGCUUAACCUGGAAAGUGCAGAGGGGACUGUUCAGCUAGAGGAUGGGAGAGGAGCGCGGAAUUCCCGGUGUAGCGGUGAAAUGCGUAGAUAUCGGAAGGAACACCAGUGGCGAAAGCGGCUUCCUGGUCCAGCACCGACGUUCAGGCACGAAAGCGUGGGGAGCAAACAGG